rnacentral:rRNA from 1 species
GAUGAACGCUGGCGGCGUGCCUAACACAUGCAAGUCGAGCGGAGAAUUGUUGCUUGCAACAAUUCUUAGCGGCGGACGGGUGAGUAACACGUGGGUAACCUGCCCUAAACAAAGGGAUAACAAUGAGAAAUCAUUGCUAAUACCGUAUAAGCCUACACUAUCGCAUGAUAGAGUAAGAAAAGAUUUAUCGGUUUAGGAGGGGCCCGCGUCUGAUUAGCUAGUUGGAGAGGUAACGGCUCACCAAGGCGACGAUCAGUAGCCGACCUGAGAGGGUGAUCGGCCACAUUGGGACUGAGACACGGCCCAAACUCCUACGGGAGGCAGCAGUGGGGAAUAUUGCACAAUGGAGGAAACUCUGAUGCAGCAACGCCGCGUGAAGGAAGAAGGUUUUCGGAUCGUAAACUUCUAUCUACAGGGAAGAAAAAAAUGACGGUACCUGAGGAAGAAGCCCCGGCUAACUACGUG